rnacentral:rRNA from 1 species
AUUGAACGCUGGCGGCAGGCCUAACACAUGCAAGUCGAGCGGAUGAAGGGAGCUUGCUCCUGGAUUCAGCGGCGGACGGGUGAGUAAUGCCUAGGAAUCUGCCUGGUAGUGGGGGAUAACGUCCGGAAACGGGCGCUAAUACCGCAUACGUCCUGAGGGAGAAAGUGGGGGAUCUUCGGACCUCACGCUAUCAGAUGAGCCUAGGUCGGAUUAGCUAGUUGGUGGGGUAAAGGCCUACCAAGGCGACGAUCCGUAACUGGUCUGAGAGGAUGAUCAGUCACACUGGAACUGAGACACGGUCCAGACUCCUACGGGAGGCAGCAGUGGGGAAUAUUGGACAAUGGGCGAAAGCAUGAUCCAGCCAUGCCGCGUGUGUGAAGAAGGUCUUCGGAUUGUAAAGCACUUUAAGUUGGGAGGAAGGGCAGUAAGUUAAUACCUUGCUGUUUUGACGUUACCAACAGAAGAAGCACCGGCUAACUUCGUG